rfam:Gordonia bronchialis DSM 43247, complete genome.
GGCUUUUUUCGCCGCGGAGAUCGACCGCCCACAGCGCUAAUUGUGGAGUUCGUUGCCGCCUUUCGCGGCGAACACGGGGUCGAUCCGACCUGCGAGGCCCUGCGAGAUACGGCCGCCCAGAUCGCUCCG